UUCACCACACUCUUAAAAGAAGACUAGCCUAAUUUCCUCCCCAGCUCAUGGGGUAGGAUUCCUCUGCUCUGGCAGCAGAUCUCCCAGAGGGAGCAGCCUGACCACAUCACUGGCCCAGAAGAGGAGGCGUCUGUCCCCAGACUAGCUGAAGGAAAGCCUGGCUUGGAUGAUGCUCUGCUCUCCCCUUGCUCUUCUCCUGGGCACUUUCUUCGGGGUCAGAUCUCAGACUAUUCAUCAAUGGCCAGCGACCCUGGUGCAGCCUGUGGGCAGCCCGCUCUCUCUGGAGUGCACUGUGGAGGGAAGAUCAAACCCCGAACUAUACUGGUACCGACAGGCUGCAGGCGGGGGCCUCCAGCUGCUCUUCUACUCUGUUGGUGUUGACCAGGUCAGCUCUGAGGUGCCCCAGAAUCUCUCAGCCUCCAGACCCCAGGACCGGCAGUUCAUCCUGAGUUCUAAGAAGCUCCUCCUCAGUGACUCUGGCUUCUAUCUCUGUGCCUGGAGUGUCACACUGAGCUGGGUGGGGCAGACAUCUGUGCAAAAACCCCACCCUCUCCUGAGCCCUAACCAUGCUCCCCAGGAGCCCUCACUCAGGGACUGGGUGGAGGAUAUUUGUAACUAG